GACGAACGCUGGCGGUGCGCCUUAUGCAUGCAAGUCGAGCGAAGCUUUUCAGUAGUUUACUACAGAAAAUGACUGAGCGGCGAACGGGUGAGUAACGCGUGAGCAACCUACCUUAGUUACUGGGAUAGCCCGAGGAAACUCGGAUUAAUACCGGAUAUUCUUAUUUAAUCACAUGAUUUUUUAAGGAAAGGUCAGCCGAACUAAGAUGGGCUCGCGUUCUAUCAGCUAGUUGGUAGGGUAAUGGCCUACCAAGGCUACGACGGAUAGCUGGUCUGAGAGGACGAUCAGCCACACUGGGACUGAGACACGGCCCAGACUCCUACGGGAGACUGCAGCAGGGAAUAUUGCGCAAUGAGCGAAAGCUUGACGCAGCGACACCGCGUGUGGGAUGACGGAUCUAGGUUUGUAAACCACUUUCAGGAGGGAAGAAAAUGACGGUACCUCCACAAGAAGCCCCGGCCA
rnacentral:rRNA from 1 species